rnacentral:rRNA from 1 species
CACGUAGGGUGCGAGCGUUGUCCGGGAAUUAUUAGGGCGUAAAGGGCUCGUAGGCGGUCGUGUUGCGUCGGGAGUGAAAACUCAGGGCUUAACCCUGAGCCUGCUUCCGAUACGGGCAGACUAGAGGUAGGUAGGGAGAAUGGAAUUCCGGUGUAGCGGUGAAAUGCGCAGAUAUCGGGAGGACACCGGUGGCGAAGGCGGUUCUCUGGGCCUUACCUGACGCUGAGGAGCGAAAGCGUGGGGAGCGAACAGG